GAGAUGUGUGAUGACGCAUAUCAAUAAGCGGAGGAAAAGAAACUAACAAGGAUUCCCCUAGUAACGGCGAGUGAAGCGGGAAGAGCUCAAAUUUGAAAUCUUAAAGGGUUUCCCUUUACGAAUUGUAGUUUAAAGAAGUGUUUUCUGUUGGAGUUUCGGUAAAAGUUCUUUGGAAUAGGACAUCAUAGAGGGUGAGAAUCCCGUAUUUGACCGUUACUUUCCAGCUGUGUGAUACACUUUCAAAGAGUCGGAUUGUUUGGGAAUGCAGUCCAAGAUGGGUGGUAAAUUUCAUCUAAAGCUAAAUAUUGGCGAGAGACCGAUAGCGAACAAGUACCGUGAGGGAAAGAUGAAAAGAACUUUGAAAAGAGAGUUAAACAGUACGUGAAAUUGUCAAAAGGGAAGCGUUUGACACCAGUGUUGUUUAGUUGAAAAUCAAUUCAAUAGUUUUUGAUUCUAAGUAGUAUUGACUUCAUCAGCUUGCUGCUUUCUUCUCAGAAAUUAUUGAAUGCACUUUUCAGUUAACAAGUCAACAUCAAUUUCUUUUGUUGUAAAAGGGUAAGAGGAAGGUGGCUUGCGCUUCGGCUCAAGUGUUUAUAGCCUUUUACCCCUGCAAUCGGAGAGAUUGAGGUCUGCAGCGUAGAUCCUUCGGGGUUAGAUACAUUUGUGCUAAGCUAUAGCCUUGUAUAGACAACUUGUUGACUAUGCUCAGUCAUGUAGCUUACUCGCUUAUGCUAUUUUACCUACGCUUAGGAUGUUGAAGAUGUAGCACAUCAU
rnacentral:rRNA from 1 species